rnacentral:rRNA from 1 species
ACGUAGGUGGCGAGCGUUGUCCGGAAUUACUGGGUGUAAAGGGUGCGUAGGCGGAUUUGCAAGUCAGACGUGAAAACUAUCGGCUUAACCGGUAGCCUGCGUUUGAAACUGUGAGUCUUGAGUAGUGAAGAGGAAAGCGGAAUUCCUAGUGUAGAGGUGAAAUGCGUAGAUAUCAGGAGGAACACCGGUGGCGAAGGCGGCUUUCUGGGCCUAUACUGACGCUGAGACGCGAGAGCGUGGGUAGCAAACAG